CCCAUGUCUGAAUCCUACCGCAUGAUGGGAUUAAUAAAUAAUUUUCGUCUGGGACGGGGAUGCGUUCCUCUACUGAAUUGGCGGGGUAAUGGCCCACCAAAACUACGAUGGAUAGGGGUUCUGAGAUGCACGUCCCCCGCAUUGUAACUGAGACUCGGUCCAAACUCCUACAGGAGGCAGCAGUGAGGAAUAUUGCUCAUUGGACGAAAGUCUGAACCAUCCAAGUAUCGUGAAGGAUGACUGCCCUAUGGGUUGUAGACUUCCUUUAUAUGGGAAUAAAAUGUUCCACGCGUGGGAUAAAAAAAAAACCUUUUGUAUAAGGAUGGGGGGACAAAAAACCAGCAGCCGCGGUAAUACGGAGGAUCCGAGCGUUAUCCGGAUUUAUUGGGUUUAAAGGGAGCGUAGGUGGAUUGUUAAGUCAGUUGUGAAAGUUUGCGGCUCAACGGUAAAAUUGCAGUUGAAACUGGCAGUCUUGAGUACAGUAGAGGUGGGCGGAAUUCGUGGUGUAGCGGUGAAAUGCUGAGAUAUCACGAAGAAUUCCGAUUGUGAAGGCAGCUCAUUGGAUUGCAACUGACAUUGAGGCUGGAAAGUGUGGGUAUCAAACAGGAUUAGAUACCGUGGUAGUCCACACAGUAAACGAUGAAUACUGGUUGUUUGUGAGAUACAGUAAGCGGCCAAGAGAAAGCAUUAAGUAUUCCACCUGGGGAGUACGCCGGCAACGGUGAAAGUCAAAGGAAUUGACGGGGGCCCGCACAAGCGGAGGAACAUGUGGUUUAAUUGGAUGAUACGCGAGGAACCUUAUCCGGGCUUAAAUGGCACCGGAAUAAUGUGGAAACAUGUUAGCUGUAAGGCAGGCCUGAAGGUGCUGCAUGGUGGUUGUCAGCUGGUGCUGUGAGGUGUCGGCGCAAUCGCCCUAACGAGGGCAACCCUUAUUUUUAGUUAUUAACGGGUUAUGCCGAGGAAUCUGGAGAGACUGCCGUGGUAACAUGCGAGGAAGGUGGGGAUGACGUGAAAUCAGCACGGCCUUUAUGUCGGGGGGUACACAUGUGUUACAAUGGGAGGUACAGUAGGCCGGUACGUGGCGACAGGAUGCCAAUCCC
rnacentral:rRNA from 1 species